UCCGAUAUGGUGUAACGGCUAACAUUGCCGCCUUUCAAUCCGCUAACAGCGAUCGCGGCAGCUCGGGGUUCGAUUCCCCGUAUCGGAA